AGGAGCCGUGUGAUGGGAAACUAUCAAGCACGGUUUUGAAUGGGAGUUCGCGAAGGUGACUUCACUCUCGACCCCUAAC
rfam:Arthrospira platensis NIES-39 DNA, nearly complete genome.